rnacentral:rRNA from 1 species
UUGGAGGGCAAGUCUGGUGCCAGCAGCCGCGGUAAUUCCAGCUCCAAUAGCGUAUAUUAAAGUUGUUGCAGUUAAAAAGCUCGUAGUUGAAUUUCGGGAUCAAUGUUUCGGUCAUGCCCUUGGUAUGUACUGAUAUUAUUGGUUUCUCACCUUCUAAAGAACCGUAAUGCCAUUAAUUUGGUGUCACGGGGAAUUAGGACUGUUACCUUGAAAAAAUUAGAGUGUUUAAAGCAGGCUCACGCUUGAAUACAUUAGCAUGGAAUAAUGAAAUAGGACAUCCGAUUCUAUUUUGUUGGUUUCUAGGAUCGAUGUAAUGAUUAAUAGGGAUAGUUGGGGGCAUUAGUAUUCAAUUGUCAGAGGUGAAAUUCUUGGAUUUAUUGAAGACUAACUACUGCGAAAGCAUUUGCCAAGGAUGUUUUCAUUAAUCAAGAACGAAAGUUAGGGGAUCGAAGACGAUCAGAUACCGUCGUAGUCUUAACCAUAAACUAUGCCGACUAGGGAUCGGAUGAUGUUAAUUCUUUAAUGACUCAUUCGGCGCCUUACGGGAAAC